CUUCCAGGUUAAAUGUUACACUUUAUGUGUUGCGAUAGCAAUCGAUCACUCCAUUUGCACGCCUCUGAAAGCUACACGAAACAUGAACUGAUAUGUGCUUAAAUUAAAAGAGUAACAUCAUCCGUUGAUUAUCAAGAAGAAAAAAGGACACAAAAUGAAAAUGCAAACCUUUGAUUAUUAUUCUCCUUCUACAAUACACACAUCUCUCAAAUUGAAAGUUCACACAGUCAUAUCUACCGAGGAAUUGUUCAUAAGGCACAUAUAUAUAGUCAAUUAAUGCCACGUUUUAAUUUUUUUUUGUAGGAAUUGAAAGGCUAAGAAGAUCUUUUGAUAGGAAAAUAGUAAAUGAUUG
rnacentral:lncRNA from 1 species